rnacentral:rRNA from 1 species
ACUAUUUGUAGCCGCAAUUCAACAUCGAGGUCGCAAACAAUUAUUUUAAUAAGGGCUUAAAUAAUUAUAACGCUGUUAUCCCUAGAGUACCUUAUUCGUCUAAUUUAAUAAAGAUCAUUGUUAAUAUAAAUAGUCCUAUUUAAAUUUACCCCAAAUAAACUUGUGUACAAUUAUUACUUCAUUAAUUAAGUAAAGGUUCAUAGGGUCUUCUCGUCA